rnacentral:rRNA from 1 species
UUAAAUUGAAGAGUUUGAUCAUGGCUCAGAUUGAACGCUGGCGGCAGGCCUAACACAUGCAAGUCGAACGGUAACAGGAAGCAGCUUGCUGCUUCGCUGACGAGUGGCGGACGGGUGAGUAAUGUCUGGGAAACUGCCUGAUGGAGGGGGAUAACUACUGGAAACGGUAGCUAAUACCGCAUAAUGUCGCAAGACCAAAGAGGGGGACCUUCGGGCCUCUCGCCAUCGGAUGUGCCCAGAUGGGAUUAGCUUGUUGGUGGGGUAACGGCUCACCAAGGCGACGAUCCCUAGCUGGU